UGGCCCGACAGGGAUCAGACACUGUGAC
rnacentral:piRNA from 1 species